rnacentral:rRNA from 1 species
CGCGUAGGUGGUUUGUUAAGUUGGAUGUGAAAUCCCCGGGCUCAACCUGGGAACUGCAUUCAAAACUGACAAGCUAGAGUAUGGUAGAGGGUGGUGGAAUUUCCUGUGUAGCGGUGAAAUGCGUAGAUAUAGGAAGGAACACCAGUGGCGAAGGCGACCACCUGGACUGAUACUGACACUGAGGUGCGAAAGCGUGGGGAGCAAACA